GUUCAUCCAUUCUCUCUAUCCAGCCGAAACAAGAAAAAGAAGAGAUAAGAACAGUAGCUGGUGGCGAAGAAAAAGAUAAAGAAAAGGGAAGUUGUACCGAUUUAUUGGGGUUUCAGUUUUAUUGUUUUUAUGAGUUGAAGAACAACUACUGUUGCUAGUCCUGCUUCUUCAGGCUGUUAUUCGACAAAACCUAAAAAAUCUGAACGCUGGUUUGGGGCAAGUAGUAAACCCUAAUCUAAUCUAAGUUUUAGAUAUUGUGAUGAAUAAUUUUGCGAGUUGCAAGAAUCAGAUUAUGGAUCUCUGUAUUGAAUGUCAAGAAAAUCAAGCAAAGCCCUAACACCGAACAUUGAUUUGUUGUAUGUUUAUUUAUGAAAUUUGGUGGUGGUGCCUAGUUAUGUUGGCGAUAGUGGUGUGUUAGUUAUGGUGUGGCUCAACUAUCACCCACCGCCACCAGCACCUUCAAUAACAUCCACCAAUCGCCAACUCAGUGUCCACAAAUGAGAUUAUGUGUUUUCAUAUAUGCACAAUUAAGCGGCUGUUCAAGAAAACAUGGUAAAGCCUAGGCUCUUAUAUUUUCGCAAAUGACCUCAAUUUUCUUGUGUAUAUGAAUUUGAUUUGCUGUGGAAUAAGUAGGUAAGUCGAUAUCAUUUUGAUUUGAUUUCCGUGUUUAAAAAUCCAGUCCAUAUUAACUUGUUAAAAGCUCUUUACAUAUAUAAUUUUCUUAACUUUUCUUAUUUAAAAUGGGAAUUCAUGGUCUGAUCUUCUUCUGUGUAUCAUUGUUCUCGGGUGUUUUUGUUAACGGAGAAGGAGGACUAUCAUUCAAAGUGAUGCAUAAAUUUGGAGGUGAAGCUAACAGGUCACUUAAGGACGGCAAAGCUACUGGAACCAGGCUUUACUACACAAAACUUGCAAUUGGAUCUCCUCCGAAAGAUUAUCUUCUCGAAGUAGAUACUGGUAGUGAUGUUUCAUGGGUUAACUGCGCCUAGUGUAGCCCUUGCAGUCCUACUUAUACUGCCGAAGACCAAAGAUCCCAUGGCCACUCUUGGAUGUUUGUUCUCUAAAAACGUUUGUGAAUAUGGAGACGGAAAUGGAAGUGCUGGAUACGUUGUUCAAGACAUUGUUGAGUCUGAUCUAGUACUGGAAAUCUUCAAACAACUAUUGGAAAUGCAUAUAUAUUCUAUUUGGAUACAAUGGCGUGCGCUUGAUGAGAUUAAUGCUGGAGUUUGUGAUGGAAUGACAAACGAAGAAAUAAAGAAAAACAUGCCCGAAGGAUAUGAGUCUCGUAAGAAGGACAAGAUGAGGUACCGCUACCCUCAGGGGGGGUCUUAUCUUGAUGUUAUCCAAAGGUUAGAGUCUGCGAUUAUGGAGACUGAACGUCAGCGCUCACCUGUUGUGAUUUCGCACCAGGCUGUAUUGAGGGAGUUAUAUGCAUAUUUUGUUGACAGGCCUUUGAAAUAAAAUUCCAGAUAUUGAGAUACCAUUGCAUAAUACAAUCGAGACACAAAUGGGGUCAUUGGGGUUCCAGAGAAACAAUACAAACUCAUGGAUUGAACUUGUUGUCACACAUCUUUAAAUCGGUUGAGUAUUAUUUCAGUGAUGCAAAUUAGGCGAAGUCUUCGAAGCUUGUUGCAAUUGAAGAUGGAAGUAGGUCAAGCAUCAAAAUUCAUUCACCGACUCAGAUAUGGAAGGAUUGCAGGUAUAUAGAUGUGAUUCGUCAGUUGAUCGACAAAGCAGGAGAUUUCGCCAGUGAUGACAUUUGGUACCGUGUUGUGCAGUUUGUGACAAACAACAAAGAUAUACAUCCUUAUGCAGCAGAAAAAAGGUAGAGAGUAUCUCGACAAGCCCGCUAUACAUGAAACAAUGGUCAAGUUAGGCUCAUCAGCUGUGCAAGAUAUCAAGUAACAUGUUUCCGGAUAAAGGCCUACUGAUUGUGUGUUCUGCACCGAAUUAUUGCUAUAUGUGUGGAAACAUAGCUCUGAGACUGAGCUUCAGUGAUAAUACGGUAUAUUAUAGGAUCUUGUAGGUUUGUUUUUUUUCCUUUAACUUGGGUCAUGUGCGUUGGAUUGUACUUGAAGUUAAGUUGUUUUUUUCUUUUCAGCGUAGAACAUUGUAUGAAUCUCAACAUAAAACACUGUAUGUCAAUUGCCAAAUUUAUUUGUUGGUUAAUGGAUCAAUUAUAAUCAUUGUAGUU